AGUGAACGCUGGCGGUAGGCCUAACACAUGCAAGUCGAACGGCAGCACAGUAAGAGCUUGCUCUUACGGGUGGCGAGUGGCGGACGGGUGAGGAAUACAUCGGAAUCUACUUUUUCGUGGGGGAUAACGUAGGGAAACUUACGCUAAUACCGCAUACGACCUACGGGUGAAAGCAGGGGAUCUUCGGACCUUGCGCGAUUGAAUGAGCCGAUGUCGGAUUAGCUAGUUGGCGGGGUAAAGGCCCACCAAGGCGACGAUCCGUAGCUGGUCUGAGAGGAUGAUCAGCCACACUGGAACUGAGACACGGUCCAGACUCCUACGGGAGGCAGCAGUGGGGAAUAUUGGACAAUAGGCGCAAGCCUGAUCCAGCCAUACCGCGUGGGUGAAGAAGGCCUUCGGGUUAAAGCCCUUUUGUUGGGAAAGAAAAGCAGCAGGUUAAUACCCCGCUGUUCUGACGGUACCCAAAGAAUAAGCACCGGCUAACUUCGUG
rnacentral:rRNA from 1 species